CUUAUAGUGAUUGAUGGUCCUACCGCCUCAGGUGGCAGUUUUAUAGAGUUCAAUUCAUGGGUUCCGAGCGAAGGGCCUCCCACGAUGGGACUUACUAGCCAGAAAGCGAUUGGGUAACUUUGUGUAUAAUUGUGCGGUGAUGGGAUGCUAGGAGAUUGUUUUUUCUGAGGUUUACAUGAUUGGUUUCUCAUCUUGUGUAUAAUAGAUGAAUUUAUUGAU